rnacentral:rRNA from 1 species
CCGCGACCCCAGGUCAGGCGGGACUACCCGCUGAGUUUAAGCAUAUCAUAG